UGUUCAAAACUUACGUAGCGAGAUCGCGGAGGUGCUAAAGCGCAUCAUAAUCGAGUCAAGAGCGUAUUACAAACGACACAUUCGUAGCUGUAACGAAGCUCUAACGCACAAAGCGUGGGAGAAGCGCAUUAAAAGCGGCACCGAUCGCCCGUGAUUUUCAGGCCCGUUCCCAAGACAAUUCUGCUACGCUGCUUCCGUUUACGAGGCGACUGCCUUGCGCUCGACACGCUUCACACCGUUUCCACCACGACGCUUUCCCUUUGGGUGGCAUGUGGCACACGUUCUCAGCCCGCUGCAGGCAUUCGCGUUGCGCUUUUGCUGCGCCGCUGAUGACUGGCCAGCGAGUGAGCAGCGACCGUCUGCGCUGCUAUGAAACAACGUGCCGAUGGUAGCGGAUUAUCACAUUUUCAACAGAUUACGAGGCGACACCACGACGUUUUCAAAUAUACUUCCCAGAAAAAGGACCAAAAAGGAAGCUGCCCUAUCUGUUAUGCCGGCGGUCCAAGAGGAAGCGAACAAGAGGUUAUGGUGGUGGUAGAGGAGGAGGAGGAAAAGGAGGAGGUAUAGUAGGAAGAUAAAAAUCUAACUGCUGAGCCAGCU